rnacentral:tRNA from 1 species
GCGGGAAUAGCUCAGUGGUAGAGCACUAGCUUCCCAAGCUGGGGGUCGCGGGUUCGAGACCCGUUUCCCGCUCCA